UUGAUUUUUGCGGAAAUCAAGCAUCGAUCGUGGGCCAUAUAGAAAUGGAUCAUCUGGUGUAAAUGCCUCAAAUAUCAGCUUAGCUAGUUCACUUUUGUCCAGCUAAACCAACAGAAAAGAACUUUUAAGAGACAGGUCGCAAAUCAAACGAAAAUCUAAACAUGUUUCAACCAAUAACAUUUUACUUACCUCAGUUAUUACAGAUAAGUUUUGGGCUAAAAUAUCCAUAAUGACAUUGUCUGCUUCAUAUACUUUGUUCCGCAGGUCAGAGAGAAAAGACUGAGCCAGCUCGUUAUCAGUAACAGAUCCAUAUUCUCUGAGGUCUGCCUGAGGCUUUAAAUAAAUGUGAAGAUCUUCACCAAUUACAAGAUAUGGAUCCGCCUAAACAUGUAAAUAUGUAGUGAUUAAGAUAUCAAUAAGCUGAUGUGCAUGACAAAAAGAACAUAAUGUAGCUGUUUGAAGACUUCGUUUUUCUUUGUAAACUGAUAAAAAGAAUAUCUUUGAAGUUAUUUUCCAUAGAAUAGAAGACAGGAUGAACUAACAUCACAAGCCACUAAUGACUUCACAAGAUGAUUCAAAUGAGGUAUGUGAUAAAGCUUCGCAGCAAACAGCAGCAUGCCCAUAGAUAAAAUAAACACCGACCUCUGCAACGAUGGGCUUAAGGUACCUAUCAAUCAAUAAGAGAAUUAUCACUAACGCAGUUGUCGCUCAUAAGUCAUUGUCGCGGUUAAAAAACUAAUUUAGAUUUUUCAAAUCACCAUGGUUGGGCUCCAGGGAUACGUUUCUCAGAGACAGUGGAAGCUGGAAGAAACGGACUGUCAGAUUGUCCUGCUGACUCUGUAACAAGUCAGACCAAGUAAUUUCAGAGUUAAAUGCAUUCAUAAUAAAGAAGGGUAUAGAAAUCAAAAUGAAAGAAGGAAAAUCCUCGUGAAAAGUCAUUGAGAAAUCAAAAAAACAUCAUUCAAAGAGUGACCCUUUUAAUCUUAUCAUAUCAG
rnacentral:lncRNA from 1 species